rnacentral:rRNA from 1 species
UACGUAGGUGGCAAGCGUUGUCCGGAAUUACUGGGUGUAAAGGGCGUGUAGGCGGGAAGGCAAGUCAGAUGUGAAAUCCCGGAGCUUAACUCCGGAGCUGCAUCUGAAACUGUUUUUCUUGAGUGUCGGAGAGGAAAGUGGAAUUCCCAGUGUAGCGGUGAAAUGCGUAGAGAUUGGGAGGAACACCAGUGGCGAAGGCGGCUUUCUGGACGAUAACUGACGCUGAGGCGCGAAAGCGUGGGGAGCAAAC